rnacentral:rRNA from 1 species
AUUGCACGCUGGCGGCAGGCUUAACACAUGCAAGUCGAACGAGUGGCUGCCGGGUGAGUACUUCUUUGGAAUCUAGCUUAUGGAGGGGGAUCACUACGGGAAACUGUAGCUCAUACCGCGUACCAUCUGAUUAGCCCACGGGGGAUUAGGUAGUUGGUGAGGUAAAGGCUCACACAGCCGACGAGCGCUAGCUGGGCUGAGAGGAUGAACAGUCACACUGGAAAUGAGACACGGCCCAGACUCCGACGGGAGGCAGCAGUGGGGAAUAGUGCGCAAUGGGGGCAACCUGACGCAGCCAUGCCGCGUGAAUGAAGAAGGCCUUCGGGUUGUAAAGUUCUUUCGGUAGCGAGGCGUUAACUACAGAAGAAGCACCGGCUAACUCCGUGCCAGCAGCCGCGGUAAUAC